rnacentral:tRNA from 2 species
GAAAUAUAAAAUUUAAGCUUCUAACUUAAAAAUUAGCAUCAAUAUGUUAAUAUUUCU